AUGCGCAUGGCGCCGGCGGCGGCAGGAAGAGCCCACGGCGCUUGGAGCAGCGCACCGCGCGCGCUCUCCGACCGGCGCGGCCUCCGGUCACCAUCUCGCGUCGUCGCCGCCACGGCGACGGUUCGGUUCGGCGCUCGUCGUCGUCGCGCAGUUGGGAGCAGAGUGGUCCUCUGCCGCGCGUCUGGGGGCGGCGGCGAGUGGGAGCCCGCGGGCUCGCCGUGGGACGGCCGGAUGGUGGACGAGGGCAUGGCCGCGCUGCGGCGGCGCAUCCGCGAGGUGGAGGACGAGGAAGUGGAAGAGCCGGAGGAGGAGGAGGAGGAGGGCGGCGUGGACGUCUUCGUGCCCCCGGGCGAGUGGACGGAGCUGGAGCGGCGGCACCACGGGCUGUACGUCGCGGGCGUGCGCGAGGCGCUCGGCAUCCUGUUCGCGCUGCUGGUGCGCGCGCGGCCGGGGCUCGGCGCGGGGGUCGUGGCGCUGGUGCUGCUCAGCGUGCCGGCCACGGUGCUCCUCGUGUCCGCCGAGCUCGUCCGGGCUGUCCACUCCAUCUCCGCCGCCGUGCUCAGCGGCAGAAUGUAG
rnacentral:rRNA from 1 species